rnacentral:lncRNA from 1 species
CAGAAAGGCAGCCGCCACCAGGAUGCUCACGACAUUUUGUCGCCGUCACGAUCAAGAGGAGAUGGCUGCACACGGCUGCGCCGAGGAGCAAGGAGACGGCCUUGGCACGGUGCCGAUCACCUCCAUCAGGAGUGCUCAUCGCUGGUGACUGUGCACUCAUCGACGUCCACAACCAUAAUCAAGGUAGGCGCUCACUGCAUCAUGUUGCAUCAUGUCCACAACCAUCAUGUUGCAGCGUAGUCAUCGCUCACUGCAUGAAUAGGCCGGUGUCCUCCAUGCUGCAGCCAAAAGUGUGGAUGUUCUUUACUACUUGCAGGGCAAGAAACUUUUUUUCUAGAACAAAAUGCAACUUGGGAUUUAUGUAUUGUAGAUUUGUAGAGUUGUAGGAUCAUUUAGUCGACGGGUAAUGGCGUAAGAUAAGAGGAAUAAAAUGCAAUCUUUUUAUUAAUACGUUUAUAAAUGAGAAAUAAAGCCACAUAUAUAUGCAUGUGACCAUCUUGCCACAAAAAAGCCACAUAUAUAUAUAUAUAUAUAUAUAUAUGCAUGUGACCAUCUUGCCACAAAUGUAUUAGUGCAAUAAUGCUAAGAGGACGGCGGCGGCUCCGACGAGGUAGGUCGGUUCUUCUCUAGAUCUGAGCCUCCUCCUCAUCAUCAUCAUCAUCAUAUGGAUCUCAGCCCUCCCGUCCUUCUCAUCCUCAUCCUCCUCUAGAUCUAAGGGACACUCCUCCUCCUCCUCCUCCUCCCUCCUCCUCCUCCUACUCCUACUAUGGAUCUGAGCUCCCGUCCUCAUCAACUUCAUCCUCCUCCUCUAGAUCUGAGGGACACAGUGGUGGCUAGGGGUCUGGUGAAUUCUUGUUUCCUCCAGUGAGCUCGAAGGUGGUGGGUCAGGGUUGGAGCAGAGCCCAUCCCCUUGCUACUUUUGGACGUCAUUUUUUUGUUUGUUUCUCCAUGUUGCAAUGGUUCUUUUUAGAUGUUGCGGUAGAUGAUUUUUGAAUGUUGCAAUGAGAUUCUUAGGUUGUUGCAACAGAUGACUUUUCAAAUAUUUCCUCUCUAUGUUUCAUGAUUAAUUUUUGUGAUGUUGCAAUACUACCAUUUGAGAUGGUGCAACACAUAAUUUUUAUGUUGCAGUACAUGUUUAUUCAAAUGUUGUAGUACUUUGUUUUUGAUAUUGCAGUAUAUAAUUUUUGAUGUUGCAAUACAUAUUUUUUGAUGUUGUUGUACAUGUUUUUUGAUGUUGAUGUUACACUACAUAUUUUUACGAUGUUGUAGUUUUUAUAUUUUUAUAUUGCACUUGCGAACAGGUUGUGUUAGGGACGAGGGACUGGGGCGCGAUGGGGAACGGGACCCAUUGAGGGAACAGGGCACGGUGGAGGACGGGGUGCCGUGGAGGAACUGGGUGCAGUGGGGGAACAGGAAGGGAGAGCUCAGUGGGGAAUGGCAAUAAGAGCGCCUUGAGGAACAGAGUCAGAAGCGCAACUAGAAAACGAGAUGCGGUGGAGGAAUGGGACAUGAUGGGGAAGCGCUACCUGGGAGGCUGGGACGUGCGUAUGGACGCUGCCUACUUCCUUUUUUUCGUGUGGUGCGGGUGAGAGCCUCAGCGUUUGGACGUGUUGCUGGCGUCGGACGUCCGGGCACUAGCAACCCUGUAAAGAUUACCAUAGCUAGAUCUUUCUGAUUUUGAUGGGAAUUUUAGGAUUCUUUUUCUUCGAACUGGUCUCGUGACGUGAGAAUUAACGUGGAGA